UCCCCGCCCCCUCCCCUCCUCCCCCGCCCGCCUCCCCUCAGCGGGACGGUGGCCGCGGCCUUCUCCCCGGAGGGCGCAGCUGGGGCCGCGGGCAAGGGGAGGGAGGGGGGCUGAGAAGGGCGCAGCCAGGCGGAGGGAGGGAGGGAGGGAGAGAGGGAGGGGAGAGGAUGGAGGAACAGGUUGUACCGCGAGCGCUGAAACUCCAAGGGCAACCAGAUGAGAAUAGCUCUGGAUUUCGGUUCACCUGGGAACCUGCGGAACGGAGAGUGGACUCAAGGGAAAUGAACUGCCUUGGGUUGGAGGGAAGAGGCUUUGAGCUAAGACUCCUGGAGCAGCGUCUCUCUUCCCAUCUUCCUACAAAUCCACCAAAAGAAACCAUUAACAGGGACGGAAGGAGAGAGAAAAGGAUCCCAGGAGAGCUGUUCCUGCUUGGUGAAGCUCAGAGCUGGCAGCAGCAGCAGAGCACGCUGCUGAUACAUCAGAUAACUGAACCUGCUUUCUUCUCCAGCCAUCUGAUCCCAGAAGGACUGGUCCUAGCAGACCACAGGAGGUCUUGUACGGUGUGCAGAACCACGGAGGAAAGAAUAUUAUUAGAAGUAAUACAUUGAAGGGAAGGACGGCUGGGCUUGAAGAGAAAGGACAAGGAGAAGAGGAGGAGGAUAAAGAAUCUUAAAUACAUCUUUAUUAAUCUGCUCAAAAUGUUUAUCGAGUAUCUACUGUGUGCAAGGCAUUGUUCCAAGUUCAGGAUUAUAUUGAUGAUCAAGAUAGACAUAAUUCCUAACCUCUGUGGAGUUACAUCCUGGGGAAGGCAAAAGACGCUGAGCAUCUAAUUUUAUAUUGGUUGUUUAAUUACAAUAUUAAGGGGUACCGUCUAGAAUAUAGGGUGCUCUGAGAAUAGUGGGGAGCCUGACCCCAUCUAGGACCAGGAAAGCUCUCCUGAGGUGAUGAUGGAGAAAACAGACUAUUCCAGGUGGAAGGAAACAUCUGUGCCAAGGCCGAGGGAGGGAGGGAUGGGGUGGUUCGAGGAACUGAAAGAAAGUUAACAGGGUUGACACAGAGGACUGGGGAAGAGUUGUCUGAGAUCAGACUAGAGAGGUGGGGGAAAGCCAGAUCACGGAGAGCUUUUGAGGUCGUGUUUCAUGAUCCCCCAGAAAGAUGUAAUAACACCUCCUUUCUUCCACCCUC
rnacentral:lncRNA from 1 species